GAGACAGACACAGAAAGGUUUUAGUUAAUGACACACAAGUCAAAAAAGUCCUGUGCACACCAAAACAGUCUUAAACAGGUGCGUAGGUGGGGCAAACAUGGACCUUCAUCAAGUAGAAACCUGAUGACGGUCCAUGACCGAAACGUUGUAGUCUAAUAAUAAUAAUUUAACCUUUUUCUGCAAGUGCAAACAGUGUGCAGUCAAUGACACACAACCGGAGGACAGGACAAAGAGACAGACAGAUGAUAUGAUUGUCAAACCAACCACUUUUAAAUAGCCAAGCUACCAUCAAUAGCCACUGGAGUUUUGUGGGUGUUUGUGUUUUGUGGACUGUACUGUGCAUUAUGCCCUACAAUUGGCGAAGUGCAGAUGUUCCUCGGUGUAGCUGCUGAUGAAAGGAUUCAGCAAAUGUCGCCUUGAAGAUAAUGUCACAGCAGUUUUACAGGGCAUCACCUUAGUAACGAGGGGUGCUAUCUGCAGUGUAAAACAAAGUGCCUCGUACGAGUUGAGCCGUGAGCUGAGUUGAGCCGAACCAUGCAGUGUAAAUGAGGCCAAAGAUGCAGGUUUGAUGUUUUAUGCUGUAAUCUACAAUCCACCUGGUUCGUGGAAAUCAAAUCAAGACUAAUUAUCUUCUUGGUGAUUUUUGUGCAAGAUUGCAAUACAAAUAAGCGCUUUACAAGAAAAAAAGUAGAUACAGUCAUGGAAAUGAGACAAUAUCAUCCAAAUAAAUUGAUUAACUGUAAUAAAAUGUAACAGUUAAUAAUAGAAUAAAAGAAAUAUGAUCAGGGAGGGGUUGUUUUUUUCACCUACAGUAGCAGUCAAAAGUUUGGGCACAUUUUCAUGUGAAUGGGAAAGUGUUUUGACUGGUGCUAUAUGUAAAGCUAGAAAGAUAGUGGCUGAAACAAAGUGGCUGAAACUAAGGCGCUGCUGACAUGAUAAAGAUUCCAGAGUGCAUCCAAAAAGGCUGCAAUGUCCCAAGAAUCAAAAACACACACAAAAAACAACACGACUGUUAGCUUGUGGUGAAGUAUUCUACGUGGAAUAUUGAGAGGUGCCUUUCUUUCAGUGCUUAUCGAUGGGGAUAACGUUACUGAGUGACACAGAAGUGUUAAACUGAGAAUCAUGUGCAUAUCUGCUAAAAUGUAAUUUAAUAUUUACUGGUGAUACUUCUCCAUAGGUGCAUGUAAAACAAAAAAAGGUGACCAAGAAUGGGGCCUUGGGGGACUCCAGAGUAUCUCUGUCAGCCUGAACAGAUGAAGUACUCAACCAGAGUCUAAAACAUCUUACAAGUCUGUUAAAAAGUUCUGUAUACUGUAAAUAACUGCACCAACAAGUGUUUCAGUCUUAAAAUACCAAAGUCAAGAGAUGAAUACUUUUUAAAUGCUGCAGAAUAAAUUUAAGUUAUGUCGCAUAAAAACAAAAUAAUGAUUUACCUUUCUUUAGGUCUUACGAGUGGUGGUUGAUCACAAAAGCAUGAAAUAAGUAACAGUUUUUUAGAUGUUUCAAUCCAAUAAAAUCCUCAAACACAAGAAGAAGAAGAGUUAACAACAGAAGACUCUGGCAGAAUGGAGGGCAGCGAGAGGAGAGAGGGCCAAAAAAACUUGUUUAUAACAUCGCUUCCUCACAACAGAUGACGCUCAUCAGGAGAGAAAUGUGUGUGUGGUUAGAAACAUCCUGAGGAGAUGUUUUUCACUGUCAGUGGAGUUUACUGUUAAACACUGCAGAGAUCUGUAAGUUAAGAAAAGACCUAAAGCCCCCUAAACACUUAACUGACUUACUGGCUCUCGUUCAUUGUUCCAGUUAUUUUGUUAAGGUUAUUAAUGGUCUCUUGGUUCGGCAGAGACCUACAUUUUGCAAACCAAUACUUUCUGUUUGACUUUUAUUAAGAAAGGGUGACUGAACUUCUGGAGAUGUCUUUAAAGGGGCUUGUGGGGUCGACUUGGGGCGACACCCUGAAGCUCAAACUGCAGGCUGAACACUGCAAAAACAAACUCUACUCAAACAUCAGCUCCAUAUUUGGUUGUUCUGUGCUGCUGAUGUGUUGCAACACUGUAAACAGAGCGGAGCUACAACCAACCACUCGGCACUUAUGAGGGUCUUUUUUUUCUGUCUGUCAGGCUCACUGAGAGGCAGGAAUGAUUGCAGAUUGAAGAUAAGCAGGCGGCGGUUUCUACACGCUAAUGAAGACCUGAGGGAGGACUGAAGACUGAGCUGCAACCCCAGGAGAUGACUCUGCUCAGCAGGCAAACGAUAACUCGGCGCGUUAUCAACGAUCAUCGAUCAAAGUGCCUCUGGUCGGGAUUGGAUGGAACAGUGUUACUCAAAUUACAGCCUGUGGGCCAGACUGGACGCCGGGUGGCCCUCAGACCAUGAAUAUAAGUUGAUUCACACUGGGAAUUUUCUUUGCAGCAAUCCACCAGGACCAGCGACAGCGUUGACAACUGCUUGACUUAACAAUUUCAAGGCUGCUGGACAAAAAAAUGAAGCGCCAAGGGUCCUAUUCUCCACCCCCCCUACCCCUACACACACACACACACACACACACACACACACCUCCUCCCACACAGUCUGAAGAAACGUUAGGAUAAAAACGGAGGGAGAGGAGGUGGAGGAGGCUCACUGCUGUUACAAAUAAACAUUUUACAGCCAAUUUUGGUUCUGUAGUUGGUCUGGGACUGAUGUGGUCUGCGGUCUGAACUUUUCUUUUUUCUUUUAAAUUUAAAAUAAUCUGCACUGCUGUCUGGAGGACAAAGACAACGAGCAAUGAAACCCUUCUCGAAACUCGAAGCUUGACACUUGAGGCAACUUCCUACUGAGUUACAGGUUAGAAAUAAAAUCAUGUUUAAGUCUCAACAAACUUGUCGCUGAAAACUUCCAACGUCUCGUCCUUACAGGAAUAUUACAGGACUGUGUAGACAUGAGAUUAAGACACUAGAGCAGAUGAAACACUCUCCAGUGUCACACAGUCACUACUAGCUCACUAUCAGGAGGUGAAACACAGAUUAAACAACUAACUUAAUGUUGCAACAUGUUGAUGCCUUAAAGGACCAUUCUGCGUUUUUGGCACAUUUUUCAACUUAUUCUUUUUAUCCCAUGUUGGAUUAUUUAGUCGCUGAACAAAUCAGAUACAGAUGGCAGAGACACAGCGAGCAGCAGUGAAAGGUCAUCAUUC